rnacentral:rRNA from 1 species
UACGGGGGGGGUAAGCGUUGUUCGGAAUUACUGGGCGUAAAGGCUCGUAGGCGGCCAACUAAGUCAGACGUGAAAUCCCUCAGCUUAACUGGGGAACUGCGUCUGAUACUGGAUGGCUUGGAUCGGGAGAGGAAUGCGGAAUUCCAGGUGUAGCGGUGAAAUGCGUAGAUAUCUGGAGGAACACCGGUGGCGAAGGCAGGUCUCUGGGCCAUAACUGACGCUGAGAAGCGAAAGCAUGGGGAGCGAAC